UACGGGGGGGGUAAGCGUUGUUCGGAAUUACUGGGCGUAAAGGGCUCGUAGGCGGCCAACUAAGUCAUACGUGAAAUCCCUCAGCUUAACCGGGGAACUGCGUCUGAUACUGGAUGGCUUGAGGUUGGGAGAGGGAUGCGGAAUUCCAGGUGUAGCGGUGAAAUGCGUAGAUAUCUGGAGGAACACCGGUGGCGAAGGCGGCAUCCUGGACCAAUUCUGACGCUGAGUGAGCGAAAGCCAGGGGAGCAAACGGG
rnacentral:rRNA from 1 species